UACGGUGGGGGCAAGCGUUGUUCGGAAUUACUGGGCGUAAACGGUCUGUAGGUGGCCAACUAAGUCAGACGUGAAAUCCCUCAGCUUAACUGGGGAACUGCGUCUGAGACUGGAUGGCUCGAGUGCAGGAGAGGAAUGCGGAAUUCCAGGUGUAGCGGUGAAAUGCGUAGAUAUCUGGAGGAACACCGGUGGCGAAGGCGGCAUUCUGGACUGCAACUGACACUGAGAGACGAAAGCCAGGGGAGCAAACAGG
rnacentral:rRNA from 1 species